rnacentral:rRNA from 1 species
CCUACGGGUGGCUGCAGUGGGGAAUAUUGCACAAUGGGCGCAAGCCUGAUGCAGCCAUGCCGCGUGUGUGUAGAAGGCCUUCGGGUUGUAAAGCACUUUCAGCGGGGAGGAAGGCGGUGAGGUUAAUAACCUCAUCGAUUGACGUUACCCGCAGAAGAAGCACCGGCUAACUCCGUGCCAGCAGCCGCGGUAAUACGGAGGGUGCAAGCGUUAAUCGGAAUUACUGGGCGUAAAGCGCACGCAGGCGGUCUGUCAAGUCGGAUGUGAAAUCCCCGGGCUCAACCUGGGAACUGCAUUCGAAACUGGCAGGCUAGAGUCUUGUAGAGGGGGGUAGAAUUCCAGGUGUAGCGGUGAAAUGCGUAGAGAUCUGGAGGAAUACCGGUGGCGAAGGCGGCCCCCUGGACAAAGACUGACGCUCAGGUGCGAAAGCGUGGGGAGCAAACAGGAUUAGAUACCCGUGUAGUC